CUAAAAACCUAGCCCUCCCCACCCCACCCCCUUUUUAAAUCCAACUAAAAUAUUCUAGCAGCCAAGUAAAGAAGAUUAAAAAACUUUUAAGAGCUAUUAACUGUACCGCAAGGGAAAGAUGAAAUAAAAAUGAAAUAAAUCUUAAGCACAAAAAAGUAAAGACCUACCCUUGUACCUUUUGCAUCAUGGUUUAGCUAGUCUAAUUAGGCAAAAAGCCCUUAAGUCUAACUCCCCGAAACUAAGUGAGCUAUUUUGGGGCCGCUUUAUGAGCCUACCCAUCUCUGUUGCAAAAUAGUGGGAUGACCCCAAAAUAGAGGUGAUAGACCUAACGAACUUAGUUAUAGCUGGUUUCUCAAGAAAAGAAUCUUAGUCCAACCUAAAGUAACACUAAUUUGCAUAAUUAAUCCUCCCACUUUAGAGCAAUUCAAAUGAGGUACAGCCCAUUUGACUCAGGGUACAACCUUUACUAACGGGUAAUACAUAAUUUGCACCUACAAGUAGGCCUAAGAGCAGCCACCUUUUAAAAAGCGUCAUAGCUUAACUCUGCACAUUUUAAUCUCUCAACCCCUAUCGAACCCUUUAAUUAUAUUGAGAACUUCUAUAACAAUAUAGAACCUUUUAUGCUAAAACUAGUAACAAGAGGUAACACCUCUCCUUAAUGCAAGCAUAACCCAGCGAGAACCCAUCACUGGCAAUUAACAGCCCGCAAGUAGUAACCUUACUAGAAAAUUCUACUUUUUCCCCCUGUUAACCUAACACUAGAGCAUUUCAAGAAAGAUUAAAAGAAAAAGAAGGAACUCGGCAAACACCUAGCCUCGCCUGUUUACCAAAAACAUCGCCUCUUGCCCCCCCCCCCUAAGAGGUCCAGCCUGCCCAGUGACUUUGUUUAACGGCCGCGGUAUCCUAACCGUGCGAAGGUAGCGUAAUCACUUGUUUUCUAAAUAAAGACCAGUAUGAAAGGCAUCACGAAGGCUAAACUGUCUCCUUUCUCCAAUCAGUUAACCUAACCUCCCCGUGAAGAGACGGGGAUUCUUCAAUAAGACGAGAAGACCCUAUGGAGCUUAAAACAUUAGAACACCUGCCACAAUCCCGAGCAUCCCGAUUCUCUUUCACCUACCCGCACGCUGAUUAUAAGUUUUUGGUUGGGGUGACCGUGGAGAAAAUCUCAUCCUCCACAAUGAGGGGAAAUAUUUUCCCCCAAUCUGCAAGCUACAGCUUUAAGCAUCAAAAAAUUGACAUCCAUUGACCCAUCAAGUGAUCAACGAACCAAGUUACCCUAGGGAUAACAGCGCAAUCCACUUCAAGAGCUCUUAUCGACAAGUGGGCUUACGACCUCGAUGUUGGAUCGGGGUAUCCUAGUGGUGCAACCGCUAACUGAAGGUUCGUUUGUUCAACGAUUAAA
rnacentral:rRNA from 1 species